UACGUAGGGAGCAAGCGUUAUCCGGAUUUAUUGGGUGUAAAGGGUGCGUAGACGGGAAGGCAAGUUGGUUGUGAAAUCCCUCGGCUUAACUGAGGAACUGCAACCAAAACUAUCUUUCUUGAGUGCUGGAGAGGAAAGUGGAAUUCCUAGUGUAGCGGUGAAAUGCGUAGAUAUUAGGAGGAACACCAGUGGCGAAGGCGGCUCUCUGGCCUGUAACUGACACUGAGGCUCGAAAGCGUGGGGAGCAAACAGG
rnacentral:rRNA from 1 species